rnacentral:rRNA from 1 species
GAUGGACCCGCGGUGCAUUAGCUAGUUGGUGAGGUAACGGCUCACCAAGGCCACGAUGCAUAGCCGACCUGAGAGGGUGAUCGGCCACAUUGGGACUGAGACACGGCCCAAACUCCUACGGGAGGCAGCAGUAGGGAAUCUUCGGCAAUGGACGGAAGUCUGACCGAGCAACGCCGCGUGAGUGAAGAAGGUUUUCGGAUCGUAAAACUCUGUUGUUAGAGAAGAACAAGGGUGAGAGUAACUGUUCACCCCUUGACGGUAUCUAACCAGAAAGCCACGGCUAACUACGUGCCAGCAGCCGCGGUAAUACGUAGGUGGCAAGCGUUGUCCGGAUUUAUUGGGCGUAAAGCGAGCGCAGGCGGUUUCUUAAGUCUGAUGUGAAAGCCCCCGGCUCAACCGGGGAGGGUCAUUGGAAACUGGGAGACUUGAGUGCAGAAGAGGAGAGUGGAAUUCCAUGUGUAGCGGUGAAAUGCGUAGAUAUAUGGAGGAACACCAGUGGCGAAGGCGGCUCUCUGGUCUGUAACUGACGCUGAGGCUCGAAAGCGUGGGGAGCAAACAGGAUUAGAUACCC